rnacentral:rRNA from 1 species
CAAAUGACUCUCGGCAAUGGAUAUCUUGGCUCUUGCAUCGAUGAAGAACGUAGUGAAAUGCGAUACUUGGUGUGAAUUGCAGAAUCUCGUGAACCAUUGAGUCUUUGAACGCAAGUUGUGCCCGAGGCCUUGCGGUCGAGGGCACGCCUGCUUGGGCGCCAUUG